GCUAUGGCAACAGCGGCAGCCGGCGGCUGGGGAGGGGGAGCGGCGGGCGCGCCUCCGCCCGCCUGAAGCUGGCGGCAGCGGGCGGCCGGCGUCGGCUCCGCUCAACUUCGGCGAAGGGGCCGGCGUCGAGGCGGCGCUACCCCGGCGCGGCCAGCGGCCGCUCGCCUCAGCGUCGGCGGCGGGACGGGCGCGGGUGGCCGCGAUACACAGAGCACUAUGUCACUGGCAUCCUGGUUCAGGUGGAAUGAGCCCCCAAACCGCAUUUCCCAGAGGAACCCCACAGAAAUGGUGGUUGAGACGCUAAUGAUGGAGCUGAGCUGGCAGACCAAGCAGGCAGAGAAGCAGCAGCGAGAGCGGGAGAAUGAGUAUCGCAAGAUCAAGACUGGGGUGGACUACGGCUGGCUGGUCAGCUAUCCAAAGCAGAGCUAUGAUAUCAGCCCAGGAGAACGGCUGCAGCUGGAGGAUAUGUGUACCAAAAUACAUCCUUCCUACUGUGGGCCUGUCAUACUCAGAUUCCGGCAACUCAUUGCUGAAUAUGAACCAGAAGUGCAGGAAGUAUCCCGGCUUUUCCGCUCUGUCCUGCAGGAAGCUGCUGAAAAGAUCAAAGAGGAGGAAGAGGCCAAGAAGCUUGCCAGGCAAUGGAACACAAAGAACAAAACCAGCCUCUCCUUAACAACGUUUAAAUCCCGGUCCAGGAUUUCCCCGUUCAUCAGUGACAUCAAGACCAUCUCUGAGGAUGUGGAACGGGGCACCCAGCCCACCAGAAGGGUUUGGAGCAUGCCAGAAUUUCGGAAUGCCAAGGAUUACUGACUCUAUACUGAACAAGGUUUUUAGACAUCAAUCUUUCAAAAACCCAGUUAACCCUUUUUUAGCUCUACUGUCUCUUCUUUGUUCCAAAUCUCUCUUCCUGCCUGUCUCUCUUGGAAGCUGUGUCCAUAGUAACGGCUGCUGAUGCCCGCGGUGUGUGACAAUUUAUUACCAACCAUGCUAGCCUUUCCUUUAAUUUAGUAGCUAUUCAGUAACCUUAAGGGCAAGGCUUACCUCCUAUCUCAUUUUUAUUACUGCUUUCUUGUGGAAAAUGAAUUAGUUUUGUGAUGUCUGUCUUCUCCUUUCACCCUGCCCCAGCCUGGAUGUAGUUACCUAUAAAAGCUUUUGGCCCAAGCUAGUGAGAGCUGCUGGCUGGAGAAAUCUUGCUGAAAGCAAGACAGCCACUUACAUGAGUAAGGCUUGCAGGAUCAGGCCUGCGAGUUAAAGCUACUAUCUGAUCUGGAACUGAACUUCCUUUCCCAACUAAUAACCUUCCUCAGUGCUACAGGAAACUUCACAGGUAACCUCAGCACUGCUCUUGAUCAGCUUUUUGCUGACAAUUGGCAAUCCAACCCGAGUAGAAACACACCCAGUUUUUUUGAGAUGAAGACCAAUGUUAUUCCACAGCAACCAGUUUAUGCAUGCUCAGGUUUCUUGGGUAUUUUCUCUUUUGUGCAGGCAGAACCCCCUGAACCUUGUACCUGCAGAGUAGAUAGAAAUUUAACAACCUGCUGUAUAGAUAUACAGGUGGAUACAUCAGUGCUGUGACAAAUGCUGUUCUUGGUCCUCAGUGUUCUGUGUUGCUGAGGUAUAGCAGUAGAAUCAUGUUUGCCUGUAGCUGGCUGCUUGGAGACGGACUGUGACCUUCUGCAUUGUGUGUGCACCAGCAGGUACUGAAGCAGAGCUGGGGAGGUGGUUAGGAUGCAUGACUGCUGCACUGUCCUUGUGGUGCUCAUUUUUCUUAGGAAUGCUGUAGACUGAACUAUAAAUGAUCCUUUGGUCACAGCAUGUGGCACAACUACCCACCCAUGUUUGCCUUGUCCUAAUUCCACAUUUUGUGUGGCUAAAUUAGCAUUUUAGUUAAAAUCAGGAGUGUGCAACUCCUGACUGUCACCACCUACUGUGCUAUGGUCCAUGGCACUAAGCAGGUACAGUGGGCGGACUAGACUCCUUUUGGAUGAAGCUAACCCAAGUGAUCCAUUGCAGCUGGCUCACAGACCACAAAGCUGGACUAAGGCUCAUCUGAAGUAAACCCUCAUGAAACUUGCGUAGUGUGAACAUCAGGUCCUCACUGACAACUGUCUGACUCUACAGCUCUGCUCCUCCGGGCUGCACUAUUUUCUAGUGUAGAAAAAAACCCAUUUCUACACAGCCCUGAUGAGGCUCUCCGAUCUGUUCUUAGCCCUUCCUGAGAGCUAGACCAGUGUCUUCAUUCUUUAAGAUGAUGAAAAAGUGAAACAGCAGCACAACAUCAUAAAAAACCCAAGUGAAUAAGGAUCAUUCUAAAUCCUCAAUCAUUCUCUCAAAACUGAGCAAGGGUUUUGGUAUCAGCCCAGAGCAUCGCUGUUGCCCUACUGCUGAUAGCGUUAUGCUGUCCAAAGGACAUUGUUACACCUGGAGAAAAAGCAGUCCUAGACUUACUAUAAGUUCUAACAUGCAAUGGCAACACCUCUAUAGCAGCUCAGUGCACUGCUUAGCUUCGAGGGGCUAACACUCCUCAGAGUCAGUACUCAUCUGAGAGAGACUAGGCAGCCCUGCUUCCAUGACUUCUACAGACAAGCCUGGCCCACAGGCUGUGGUAGCCAGCAAAGGUGUGCAGGAAGUGAGGUUCCUCACCCAUAUCAGCAUAUAGUUUAGACAGCUAUCACACCGUGGGGAGUUGGAGUAAGCUUCACAGGAAAUACCUGUCUGCUGAGAUUGCACUGUUUAUACAUUUCAUCACAGAACCUCAGAAAAUUAAAGCAAAGCUGUGAAAUAUAAAACAAUUUUUUUGUACUUGUUGUCUUUAAUUAAAGAUCUCCUGAAAUAUAAUCUGUCUGCAUGUAGCCAAACACAACAGCUGUUCCACUGCCCUACUGUGCACUGUGUAUGUAUCAAAGGAGGAAGGCAAGAAUGGUAAAGGCACUUGAUCUAAACAAACAACCCCAUCCUCUCUCUUACAGGCUACAAAUGCAGCCACCUACCUUCUAUCUUGCUACCUCUACAAACAGAUCCCAACAUUUAAGGUGAUAAAUAACCAGGAUUAAACAAGCGCAAAGGUCCGAAAUUCUCUGAAGUUAAGUGGUUUACAGAUACAACCUUGAACUGAAGUCUUCAUCAACAUGCUUCCAAGCACGUCUUACAUUGAAAUAAGAUGUAAGAGCCAAAAUGGGUGUUUUUGUCUCCAGAUACUUUUCAAUCACUUCUGCAUAUGUUAAAGCAUGCAUAUGUUAAACAAAAGGAAGUAAAUUUUUUUUUGCCACACAAAGUAUUACUGAAGUAUGGAUUGCCUGGCUCAGCACAUUCUAGAGGUCAGACAGACAAGUGGUUCCAAAAAGUGACUACACAAGUUCAGAGAGUUAGUAAACCACACUAGUCAGGAUGCAGCCUACAGCACUGGGCUUAAGCCACUCCUUGCCAGAAGCUGUGGACAAGCAAAUCUCUCUGUGUUGUUGCUUACAUUGCCUCUCCAAAACAUUGCUAUAGACCUCUCCCAGGGGAAGACUAUGGAUGGCUAGGCCUUGACUGGAUGGCCAUUCUGAUAUUCCUGUGUUCUGCUACACUUCCCUGAUAAAGGACCGUAGUUUUGCCCCAAAAGCAUUCUGAGAAGCACUAGACUGCGUAAGUUAAAGCAUUUUUGGUUGUGCCCUGCAAUAGAGGCAGGGCUAUUAAGCAUCCCUCAGUUCUACCCACCCGUGCCAGGCAGAGACAUCGUAAUCUCGGCGCCUGCCUUCCCCUAGUACUGCUGUCUGUGCUUUGGGCUGUCAGCACAAGGGACCUCUUGUUCCCUUUGUAUGAUCAGACAAGCUGGCUUACAUCAGAAGGAUACUGUGCUGACCCUGAGAGUUCGGUCUCAGGCCCAGGUCUCCCAAUGACUGCCGUGUAUUUUCUGUGCAGUUGCUGCACAAAGAUAUUCUCAAACUAAGGGAAAAUCUUUGCAGGAUCAGGUCUUAAUAAACAUGACAGAAAGGCAAGGAAAAGGGCUACAAGAUGCACCACAGAUGUGGUGAUUUACGGUCACCUGUGUAUACUCUACGCUUCCGGUAAUUACUGUUACACCUGUUCAGUGAUCAUAAUGCUGGAGUCUCAGAGGCCUCUCAGCCCUCAGAGUCACAGUCCAUGUGCAGUACCUUUGCCAACAUUAUUCUCUGCAGUGCCAGGUUGCCUAAAGCAACAGAUUACACCUGAUUUAGCCUGAAGACUAUUCAAAUAACUAGAUGUGGUAUGAAGCAGUGACAGUGCAAUACUCCUCAGGUAUUGUUAUUUAUUAUUUUUUUUUCUAUAUUCUGGCACUGGAGGUCUGAUAUUAUUUCAGAGAUGGAGAAGAGCAGGGUGCAGUUUCUGAAGAACUCAGCAGCCCCAAGUAGGGAUGGCGCAAGAACACCUGGUCCUUCCAGGUCCCUACUGGCUCUCAGCAACCUGCUCCUGUUGCAUUCAACUACUUAGAAGGUAAAGGCUUUGUUCUGCCUUCAGCACACAAGAAGGACCAGACUAUCGUCUGUCCACAGCACAGCCAAGAGCAAGACAUGAACGAAAACUAGAUUAAAUUCAUAGGACAGCAGUAACAAGUGUUCCCCAUAAACACCACAUAAUUAGGCCUUUGCAGGCUAAUUACAGGGUUUCAGAAUAAGAAAGUCCAAAGCCAAUGUCCAAAGGUAAAAAAAAAUAAAAAUACUUCCAUGACAGUCCAGCUGGACAGCAAUGCCACCUGCCGGCAGAUUUCCCAGCACUAAUUAACAGAGAAACAGGCAGCAACUUUCUAACCAGGCGUCUCCUGGCAAAUACAGAUUCCUCACUCUCCGGCUACCUUUCUCUCACACCACUGUCACCCAGAGAGCAGCUCACGAAUGGAGAGCAAAAUGAACACAACUGAUGUUAGCUGUAAUGUUUAGCACCUUAUCGGAAGACAGCACCAGCAGCCAGCAUGCUUGUAUCAGAACAGUUGUCAUCUUAAACAUUGUGUCUCUGUGAUCAAAAUACAUUUCUCAGACUGGAUAUUAAUGAUGUUCUUUCAUGCUGCUUGAACAGACUCAAAACAUGCUCCCUUAGAGCUCUCAGCACCAUGUCCUGCUCUCCCCUCAGAAAACACCAGAUGUUUCACACUCCUUGUGAAUCACAAUUUAAGACCGAAAUUGUGCAGGCAGGAAAAAAAAUACCUGCCGUCAACAGCCAAAUAAAUCAUGAUCUCUGCACUGGACAGUAAUUUUGAUGAUUCGUUUUGUCCAGAGAUGGAAAUAGAAGGCUGUGUGUUUGCCAAUAAUUUUAAAAAGCAGUUUCUCAAAAGCUUAUCGCCCUACAGCUUCGAAUAUCACCAAGUAGCAGACUGGAGGAUUUUCGGAUGUGCCCAGGACCUCAUAUCCUUCAGAAGGACCCACUACCACUUAAAAUCCGGCCAUUUCAUGGAGUGCCCAAAUGAGAGUGGAGCUCCCAAGGUGGAGAGUUGAGCAGAACUUUGUAAACUUGUUUCUAAAUGUGCACAGCAAAGACCAGGAGGAGUAGGUUUAAUACAUACAAUAAAGCAUAUUAGAGCUCCAUCCAGUGGUCACGGCUUCCACCCAGACCUACCAGGGCAGGUUCAGUGGGGGACUUCUGGCCAAGUAACUUCAGCCUCUCUGAGCCCUGCUUUUCACCUGCAUAUACAGCUCACUCGGUUUUCCUCACUGCAGAGGAUGACUGGGACGCUCUUCCAU